rnacentral:rRNA from 1 species
GGCUUUUUGUGUAAAUAAAAGGUCGUACCUGCCCACUGGCUAUUUAAUUGAAGGGCCGCAGUAAUUCUGACUGUGCUAAGGUAGCAUAAUCAUUUGUCAAUUUAUUGUUGAAUUGUAUGAAUGGUUUGACGAGAAAUUUAAUGUCUCCUUUAUGUUUAUUGAAUUUUAUUUUCUAGUGAAGAAGCUGGAAUGUUGCUGAGGGACGAGAAGACCCUAUAGAGUUUUAAUUAAUAUUUUUGUGAUUUUUUAUGUAUUGGAUUAUAUAAUGUAUUGAUUUUAGUUGGGGCGAUUGGUCAAGAGGAAUAUCUUGGCUUGAUUUUGAAUCAAUGUUGCUUGAAUUUUUUGAUCCAAUAAUUAUUGGUUAAAAGAUUAAAUUACCUUAGGGAUAACAGCGUUAUUGUAUUUUAGAGUUCUUAUCGAUAAUAUAGUUUGCGACCUCGAUGUUGAAUUAGGUUAAAUGGGAUGGGUGUAGAAGUUCUCUUGAGUAGUCUGUUCGACUAUUAUAUGCCU